AGACCGUGCAAAGGUAAGCAUAAUCAUUAAGUUUUUUAAUUGGGAACUGGAAUGAAUGGUUUGACGAAUUAAUGAUUGUCUCAUUAUAAAUAUUUGAAUUUUAUUUUUAAGUUAAAAUGCUUAAAUAAUAAUAAGGGACGAGAAGACCCUAUAGAUCUUAAUAACUGAAAACUAUUUAAUUUUGUAGUUGUGGAAUAAUAAGAUGUUUAAAUUAUUUUAUUGGGGUGAUAUGAGAAUAGUAUAACUUCUUAUUAUUUAACUUUGAUGAAUGAUUGGUUUCUGAUUUUAUAUUAUAGAAUGAAGAUAAAGAUACCUUAGGGAUAACAGCGUUAUUUUAUUUGAGAGUUCAAAUUGACAAUAAAGAUUGCGACCUCGAUGUUGGAUUAAAAUUAUAUGUUGGUGUAGGAGUCAAUAAUAUUGGUCUGUUCGACCAUUAAAUUUUUC
rnacentral:rRNA from 1 species